ACAAUAGCCAGGGCCUCCAUACUUGUUCUCACACUUCAAAAAGGAUCUACACUAUAGAAAUAAAGAAGAAAAAUUUCAAUUUUGAUCAUUGUCUGUAUACGAUGGCUGGAUUACAGAGAUCGGCGACAUCGUUCCGGCGACAAGGCUCAUCAGGACUAGUAUGGGAUGACAAAUUAGUGACAGCAUCAGGUGAAUUGAUUCAGCUUGGAAAUCCACGAGGAGAAACUACUAUUAAAACUGAUAGAGAAAGAGAAGAAAAGCCUAAAUUGGAAGCGUCGGUGCCUGAUAAGGCUUCAUCAAAAACGGCUGGAUCCAUGGAGAGGAGCCGAUCUAAUCGCGGUUUCCGAACCGGUAAGGUGUCACCGGCGAUUGAACCGCCUUCUCCUAAAGUAUCUGCAUGUGGAUUCUGUAGCGCUUUUGGGAAGAAUGAUAAAUCUAACCGCCGACCUAAAUCCGGUAAGCGUAAGAUGUAAUAUUAUUCCGGUGAAAUUGCGAUUAGGUCAGAAUUGGAUGGCGCAAUUAACGUUCAUCUCAAUAAGGAUGAGGUGUGAGAAUUUUGGUGCUAGAAGACAACUGUACUACUUGUUUUUAUGCAUUUUUGGCUUUUUCUCUGCCUUCUUUAGGUUCUGCAGGGGACAAUUUCUUCCAGUGUCUUACUUUUCCUGAUUGCCUGAUAAUCUAUGUGCAUAAGCUUUAGCUUUUUACCUUUUUCGUCAAGCCGCAAUGAAUCAUUUCUCGUUGUACAAAGUUGAAUCUGAAAUUGGGACAUCUCUUGCUUUAUCUUCUGAUUAUGUGAAUCCGAGUAUAUCUCAUGUUUAUCUUCUGUAUACUAGUAUGCUUAUUGUAUACACUAUUUCUCUCUCCCCAUAUAUUAUACUCAUGUAUAGUUG
rnacentral:misc_RNA from 1 species